rnacentral:lncRNA from 1 species
AGAGAUGAGAUUUCUAAAAGAUCUGAAGAGAGUCAAAAAAUUUUUUUUAUUUUUUCCUUUUCUUUAGAGGCAGGAGCUCACCAAGUUUUCUAGGCUAGUGUCAAACUCCUGGCCUUGUUACCAGCAGCAAAUCCUACAGGUCUGCAGCAACCUCAAUUCUCACCUCCUCAGAAGAAAUAAUUCGACUGAGAUGCAGAAGUCAGGAGACACUGAGGUGAGUGGAGAAAAGAAUAAAGAAACCCAUAUUUCUUGAACUUCUCUGGCAACUAGCAGUGGUACCAAAUACAGUCUUUAGAAUUUCCAGAGUCUC